rnacentral:rRNA from 1 species
GAUGAACGCUGGCGGCGUGCCUAAUACAUGCAAGUCGAGCGAACAGACGAGGAGCUUGCUCCUUUGACGUUAGCGGCGGACGGGUGAGUAACACGUAGGUAACCUACCUAUAAGACUGGGAUAACUUCGGGAAACCGGAGCUAAUACCGGAUAAUAUUUCGAACCGCAUGGUUCGAUAGUGAAAGAUGGCUUUGCUAUCACUUAUGGAUGGACCUGCGCCGUAUUAGCUAGUUGGUAAGGUAACGGCUUACCAAGGCAACGAUACGUAGCCGACCUGAGAGGGUGAUCGGCCACACUGGAACUGAGACACGGUCCAGACUCCUACGGGAGGCAGCAGUAGGGAACCUUCCGCAAUGGGCGAAAGCCUGACGGAGCAACGCCGCGUGAGUGAUGAAGGUCUUCGGAUCGUAAAACUCUGUUAUUAGGGAAGAACAAACGUGUAAGUAACUGUGCACGUCUUGACGGUACCUAAUCAGAAAGCCACGGCUAACUACGUG